rnacentral:lncRNA from 1 species
UGGGCACUUAAAGCAACCAUUUAUUGUAGAAUGAGUAAUGAAGGAAAAGGGUUCAAUAGCUAUCAUCAACUAGUAAGAUUGUGGACUUGGCCCUGCUGGGAUAAAUCAUGGUGAAUGCAUCAGAAAUGCUAAUCGCGUGGGCUGUCUGGAGUUUUUCCCAUGGGUUACAAGAUAUAAAAAAAAAAUCCUGCAGCAGAGGUAAAUACUCUGUUGAAAAUCAUUUCUUUGAUUUUAUUAUUCAACAAAUUCUUUGUUGAAUGAUUUCUUAAUGAUUAUCAGUUAUCUUCAACACUGGAGUUAACGACUAAGCUUCUACAUUUUAGGGACACACUCCUUUGAAAAUUAUUGCUUAAUAACGUGAGAAGUAUUUAUCUUUAAUAAUAUUUUGUAAAUUUCUUGUCUGCUCAAUUCUUAAGCAAGAUAUAGUCCAGUUACUAUUGUUUACCUAACCAUAUGACACUGGUUUCUUCACAAUUACUCUUGUCAAUUAAUAAAGGUCCUUUGGGACAAAGAGUUCA